GAAUUUUGGACAAUGGGCGAAAGCCUGAUCCAGCAAUGCCGCGUGCAGGAUGAAGGGCUUCGGGUUGUAAACUGCUUUUGUACGGAACGAAAAGCUUUGGGGUAAUAACCUGGAGUCAUGACGGUACCAUAGGAAGAAGCACCGGAGAAAUACGUGCCACACGCCGCGGUAAGACGUAGGGUGCAAGCGUUAAUCGGAAUUACUGGGGGUAAAGCGUGCGCAGGCGGUUUUGUAAGACAGAGUGGAAAUCCCCGGGCUCAACCUGGGAACUGCCUUUGUAACUGCAAGGCUAGAGUACUGCAGAGGGGGGUGGAAUUCCGCGUGUAGCAGUGAAAUGCGUAGAUAUGCGGAGGAACACCGAUGGCGAAGGCAACCCCCUGGGCCUGUACUGACGCUCAUGCACGAAAGCGUGGGGAGCAAACA
rnacentral:rRNA from 1 species